ensembl:lncRNA
CGGCAAUCUGCGGCUGACGGACUUCCUGAGUUAGGCAUCCUAUCUCUCCUUUAAAAGCCCUCAAUGGAUUUAUUUUUAUUUUCUUCCAGGAAUUUCUCUAAUUACAAGGAUAGCCCGAGCGCUUCUUAACUGUUCUCUGUCCAAACCAGCCACUGAUUUCCAGGUAGAAGUGCCCUCCAUGCCUGCAGUCAUAGGUGGAAGGAGAUCGUCUGAGAGAUUCAGGUAUGAGGUGUUAGUCUCAUUUGUGCUCUGGAGGACAGGCCUGCUCACUCCUUCACUUUCUCCCAACAAGGGAGCAGCCCCCACACGCCACGUGGGCAGGGCAGACUUCACCUCGCCUCAGAUUGCCACCUGGAGUGACAGGCACAAUGGGACAGGAGAGGGAAGACUCCAGCAAGCAUCAAGAUCUGCGAGGGAUGAGGCUCAUGUGGAGAAAAGCAAUCUGCUGGUGACCACAAUGAGAGCACAGGUAAAUGGCUGCUUUAGGCGAGUAUUUAUUCACACUGCCUCCACAAUUUCAUAUUCCAAUCAAUGGAACAAGGGCUGCUCUACACAUUUUGUUUUUAGGCCAGAGAUCACCUAAAAGGUCUCAGUAGACAUCAACUCCUGCCAGCCACAGACUAGAAAUCCCAGGGCACAAGUCCAGACCAUACCACUUUUUGAUGCCUUUUCUUGGUCUUAAAAUCAAGAGUCAUACACGGUUAGAAGGGGAAAAGGGGUUUUACCUUGGUAUUUAUUUUAAGGAUCCUUAGGUGUACACAUCUAGGUUAUAUGCAUCGAGAUGCACCCCACCGAGUCUAUCUCUGUCCACCUCCCCCUCCAACAUUGGGUAUAACAUUAUAGGUUAUACUAAUUAGCAUAUCUAUCAAAGAUUCCCCAAUGAGAGGCUCAAGUGAGCCCCCCUCCCCAAGGAAGCUUCCCCUGGAUGGUUCUAUCUUGGUUUACAGAAUAUGUUCUGGAGAGGACCUUGGGGUCUGGGGCACACUGAUCCCUAGCUAUGAAGCUUCUAAAAUGUUUAGUCUCUUAGCUUGACAAAGAAGUCCAAGAAUGUAGGCAAAAAGCACUACGGAUACAGAAGUUGUAAAAAGGUAUAACAGGGGUAUAAAAGAAAAGGCAAAAAAUCUUCAUGGCAUUGUUCUGGCCAUGCAAAGCCCACUAAAAUUCCCCCCACAACCUCCCUGUUCAAUGCCAGCCCCUCCAGCAGCUUGUUCCUGCCCUCAUGACAGGUUUGCACAGCUCUCUGUGUUGGUACAGCUACCAGCUUUCAGUGGAACCAAGGGAAUCAUGUAGGACCUUCUCGAGCCACCUUCACAACAAACCACCACAGGCACACAUCCCUGAUCAAAACACUUUCGUAUGUGCUCCCUGGUUCAGGAUUACCAAUCCCAGCAGUAUUCCAUCUUUGCACUGCUCACACCUGCGCAGGCCUGUGCUGACUUCUGGGGUGUCUCUCUGCCACAACACACCUCAGUCAGUCCCUUGCAGGGCCAUCUCUGUGACAUCCCAUCCCAGGAAGCAGCCUGCUCACAACUGAACUGCAAACCACAUCAGUUCCAUUAUCUGCACCAGAACACAUGAAAAACCGUAGCUAACAAAAUAAAUAAAUGCCAGUCUCCAGUUCAGGAGUGCAGAAAGAUAAUUGUUUUGAUUUGCAGUACAAACUAGAACCUGAAGGAAAGCAAGACCAGUUUCUUCUACUUAGAAUCAUAGAGUCCCAGACUGGUUUGGGUUGGAAGAGACCUUCAAGAUCAUAUCAUUCCACACACCCUACCACAGGCACCUUCCUCAAGUUGCUCCAAGCCCCAUCUGACCUGGCCUUAAACACUUCCAGGGAUGGGGCAGCCACAGAUUCUCUGGGCAACCUGUGCCAUGGCCUCACCAAAAUUCUCUCCCUUUUAGCUCACUCAACAGGGAUGUGGGAACUACACAGAGCAGAACAGGAGCUGUAGCUGCUGCACAGCUGUGGCAGAUAAGCCAAGAAACAGCUGAAGCAGGUUACUGUGCUCAUCCAGCAGCCCAAGAAAAGAGUUUUCAGGAUACCUUUUCAUUAGUGAAUCCUGCUUUGGGCUGCACAGCCCACCUGUGCUGGAUGGCAGCAGCCAGCUCCCCAAAUCCUUCCUCUUGUAACUGAGGGCACAGCAUCACAUCCCGCCGAUGUGAUCCAUCACAGCCCACCUGACCCAGCACACACAGGCACUGCCUGUGUCUUUCUGCCGGCUGAUGCCCAAUGCUGCAGAUCAGAGGUGGGAUCAAUACCACACUCCUGCUAAAACCAGUGUUGAGGCCAAUGAUUUGACACGGACUAGAAACAGAAGUAAAACUGACCUCAUCGAUUUUCAUUUUCCAAGCAAAGGCCACGAGUAAGGAGCAGACUAGCAGUGCCAAGAGCAAAAGACUAAUUUGGUGGGGGCUUUCUGUUUUUAAUUAUUUCACAUUUAAUAUCCAUGUUCUUGAUCCCACAGAGAUUUAAGAUUUCUUUGGGCCUACACACUUGCAUAAGGUUGUGUGUGCAUUUAAACGACUGUAGGAUCUAAGCCCAGCUUUUUACUUAUCACUAGGUAAGCAAAUUUGCUUAAUAGGAAUUUUAAUUUGCCAUUAUCCAUUUAAAAAUGUAUUUUUUUUCUCUGCUAAAUAGUAAUAAAUUAGCCUAACAGCAAUCACUUAUAUUUCUUUAGCAUCUUGGAAGCAUCUCAAUACAUUUUUACCAACCACAGCAGUCCAGUGAAGCUAAAUCAACUGCCACAUGUAGAUCUCGCAGGGCUUGGUUUGAAGAUGGGGUCUUUACAGUAGAAAGCUUGGAUUUUUCACUAUAUCACUGAAAAAACAUAUUUAUAAUUUCAAGUGGGAGGGAAGAUGCACAGGAGCUCCACAAGAGGAGUUUAAUCUGGUGAAAGAAUAAUUCUCUCAGCAGAUUUUGUACCCUGCCCACCUACCCACCCUCCCUGCCACCACAUAUCAGGAAAUUCACAUACAGCAAGCCCAGCCCUUCCAAGGAUGCUGACACAGCCUCCUGCACACCUGGUGCCAGUGCCUGCCCCUGCACCACACCAGAUCCAUCCCAGCUACAGAGGUGGGCACUUCUCCCAGUGCAGAGAUGCAGCAGACUCAGCCCAGGCACAAGAGCCCAGGCCUGCCUGUAUCCUUGGUGCUGGUUUCAACAGACAAGGACCAAUCCUGAAGAAAUCUGUGUUUCACAAGGACUACAAGGUUUUAUUUUGAGGCUUGCCUGCUUCCCAAGCUCCCUCCCCAAAUGCAGAAGGGUAUUAUCCCCUGAGAAGAGGCUGGGGAGGUGACAGACACUAACCAGGCAGGCAUCUCCAAACUGGAGCCCUAAAAUGUCUGUAUUUUGGCACUCCUCCUCUCCACCAUAACCUGCAUGUAUCACAACCCAUUUCACUCCCAACACUAUCCCUGGAGCAACACUACUGCAAAGGCAGGGAGGGGAAAGAACAGCGAUGCCUAAAGAGGAAUUGAGGCUGAUCCAGGGUGGCACAGGAAAAAACAUGCUACCACUCCCCAAAACAGCCAUGCUGUUGUCCCCUCUCCCCACCAAACUGAGCUGUUCACUUGAGUGCAACUGGAUAGUACUGAAGGACCUGGGCAGAAAUAGAUUUUUUGUUCUGUGGACUGCUGGAGCCAGGGUCAUUAGCUAUGCACAGCAAGCAGGCAGCAGUCCCUCAUUAGCAGGCCACUCGUCGGCUCCAGCCACCUACAUUAUUGGUUCAAAGGAGUGUGCCCAGCCAUUAUUGCCCUCUCCAGAAACUCAGCCUAAUUGGCUUAGGGAAAGUACAGGUUAAGAGCAUGAACGGCUCUGCAGCUAGCACAGUUUUGCCAAGUCAUGAUUUUAUGAGUUCAGGGAACUGCAUAUCCUCAGGUCCUGGAAUCUUCAGCACUACUGACUGCAUCACUUUCUGCAUCAACUGAAGGGGACAGGAUGUUUCUAGUCCUCAUGGCUACAGGGGGAAAGAGUGGUCCUUAAAUGGCUGCAAACCAUAUGGAACAAGUUUACAAGUUUUUUCUCUUUAUUCUUUGAAUUUGCAGGCCAUUUCCCAGGGAAGAGUUGGUAAUACAGCUUCCACAAACAUGGAAAAACAGGCAUGCUUGCUCUGAGCCAAGGAAGCAGGCAGCCCCAGAGCCCACUGCCCCAGGCAGUAAAGCUCUCUGUCCCCUGGAGCCACAGCACAUGCAGAGCCCCCCAAGGUCACGGAACAUCUGUCCCCAGGCACCAGCCAGCACCUGCAGCCCCCAGCCCAAACCCACCAACCCAGCCCUAUCUACAGGGCUGGUGUCGUUCCAUCCAUCAUCACAAUCCAACUCAAGGGGAGGAAUGAGGCCUAGGAGAGCUCCUUCUCCAGCCACAACCGCCACCAAAAUACACCUAGCAAAGCAUACCUUCAGUUCCUGAGCCAUUCCUGCUCAAAUGAUCAAACAUCCAUAGUUCUCCUCAGGCUUUUGUAGAGGUUUCUCUCCCCUAAAGCUGAAGCAACACACCAGAACUGUUCCCCCAAUUCCUCCCUGCUUACACACCUCUCCCUAGUGCCCAGACUACCUCAGCUCCUCUGGUCAGCAAGGUUUAUUACCUCGUUACCAGUUCCAGGUGCUGCAAUGCUCACCUGCUGAACCUCCCUGUUGGUGCCACCUGUUUGCAAUUACCAGGGAUGAGCCGGGGACAUUACUGGUGGCCUACCCCUGCCCUGGACUUGCUACCACCUGAAACUUGGGCACUAACACAUCUCAGCUACCCACUCCUUUCCAAGCCUCUUGAAAUCCUGACUGGAUUUCAACGUUGCAGCUCAAAUUUACAGAACUGGUGAGGUUUGCCCAGUUUCCUGGAGCCUGUACUCUAGGCAGACACUCGACUUGGUGUUUUUGUUAGGGGUUAGGAUUUUUCCUUUUGUUUCUUUCUCUCAUGGAAUUUUGUCCCAUCUGUCGCUAAGAAACCAUAACGACCGAUACUUAGGAGAGACAAAAGAAGUUGCCACGGGAAGGAUGCGGCUGGCUACUCUCUUACCUGAGGGGUUUCUCUUGGAGGGGCAGUGAAAUUUGGGCUGGGGAAAAGGGGGCUGGACGCAGCUCCUCGCUCUCUUGCUCUCUCGGCAUCGGAGGGGAAGCAGGCUGAGGUCGCUGUGGGGAGAAUUUACCACCACUGCGAGGCUCCUUCUCCCACUGCCUUCUCCUACCAUGAAUGAAGCUCUGCCUGUGGGAGCGGCUGUUGUGCUGGAGCCUUAUUAACACCCUGCCUCACUGGGGGGGACCCUUUCACCAUCUGCUCAGGUGCCUCAGGGGAAACCCCGGG